rnacentral:rRNA from 1 species
CACGUAGGGUGCGAGCGUUGUCCGGAAUUAUUGGGCGUAAAGAGCUCGUAGGCGGUGUGUCACGUCGGCCGUGAAAACCUGCAGCUUAACUGUGGGCGUGCGGUCGAUACGGGCAUCACUGGAGUUCGGCAGGGGAGACUGGAAUUCCUGGUGUAGCGGUGAAAUGCGCAGAUAUCAGGAGGAACACCGGUGGCGAAGGCGGGUCUCUGGGCCGAUACUGACGCUGAGGUGCGAAAGCGUGGGGAGCAAACAGG